GGCAAACUACAAAUGUUAUGCUGCCUGACCCACUGAGUUCCUCCAGCGCUUUGUGUGUUGCUCCUGAAUGCACUGCCCAGCUUGCCAGAGAUUGCAUUAAGCCUCAUUGGAUUCCAUCAAGGCUUCUUCCUGGAAAAGGCCAGCCUUCUUUGGGGAAUGAGGCUCCAAAUGAUGAGGCUGCAGAUGAAGAGGUUGACAUUGAAGGUCUAAG